rnacentral:misc_RNA from 1 species
GUAAGCCAUUCCAUCAAAUGAACAGGAAGCAAAGGUCCUAAUGUGUGAAAAAACAAUAGUCAUGUUCCAGCAGUACCACAAGCUUCAGCGAUGAGAACAGAGAACAUCCAAUGUAGAAUACCCAAUUACACCAGUCUAGAUUCAGUUGUUAAACACUUGAGCAAAAGUCCUAUGUUUCUUGGUCUUUAAUACAAAAUCGAAUACAGAUAUCCAAAUUUGCAUAAAUUUCCACUGAACCAAUAUGUUAAAGUGACAUACACAAGUUCAACAAGACUUAUCCCGCACAAGUUUUACAGAGUAAAGCAAUAUCAACCAUCCAGCCCCAUAGCAAAAAAGUUGCACAAGAGCAUUUUCCUACUAUGUUAAAAUUGCACUAUUAAUGAAUGCUACAAUCAUCUAAAACACAUAUAAAUAAGCUACAAUUUUCAUCAAUAAGAUCGGUCAUUGAUCAAUAACUUUUUAUAUGUAAUUGUUGCAUGCAAGUGUAGUGUCCCUUCAUUCCAUUCAAAAUUGAUGUACUAUGCCUAUCCAUCUUUUUGCAAGCACUGUUUGCGGAUGGUCAAAGCUCAACUACAGAAGGCAUAGAGGCCAAUCA